rnacentral:lncRNA from 1 species
CAUGUCUACAUCUGUGCUUUUCUCAGCUAAAACUCGAACACACCUUCCAUCCACUUCUUCCUGAGUUUCUCUCCCUAAGCCCCAAGUUCCAGCAAGCUAUUCCUUUCUCCUUUAAUGUUGUCUAGCCUAGUCUACAAGAAAUUUUUUCUUUUGUAAAAAGAUUUUACAUAUUUAUCUAUUUUCAAUUAUGUGUAUAUUUGUGAUUGUCUUUGCAGAUGCGUGUUACUACAGUUGUAUGUAGUGGUCAGGCAAAAAGAAAAUCAGAACUUCCAAAGCUGGAGUGUCAGGUGGUUGUGAACUACUCAACCUGGUUCCUGGGAACCAAACUCAGGUCCUCCGCCAAAGGAGCACAUGCACUUAGCCACUGAGUCAUCUCUGAAGUCCCAGAAACCUCUGAAUGCCCAGGUGACAAGACCAAGGCUGAGAGACUAGGAAAGGGCUAAGAAUCUGAGUCACUGGCUGAGCAAACUACAGGUCAAUGGUGGACCUUCUCAAAAGCAAUACAUAAAUGAUCGAGGAACAAAAGCAUCACAUCAUCAACUUUUGCCCUCCACAACUGCCUACAGAGGUGAGCAUAACUGCGCGCGCGCGUGCAUACACACACACACACACACACACACACACACACACACACACAUACACACACACACAGCAAAAA